rnacentral:rRNA from 1 species
UACGUAGGGUGCAAGCGUUGUCCGGAAUUAUUGGGCGUAAAGAGCUCGUAGGCGGUCUGUCGCGUCUGCUGUGAAAAUCCAGGGCUCAACCCUGGACCUGCAGUGGGUACGGGCAGACUAGAGGUAUGCAGGGGAGAACGGAAUUCCUGGUGUAGCGGUGGAAUGCGCAGAUAUCAGGAGGAACACCGGUGGCGAAGGCGGUUCUCUGGGCAUUACCUGACGCUGAGGAGCGAAAGCAUGGGGAGCGAACAGG